UAGAUAUGGAAAAGUAUGGAGAUCGGUGUUUGGUUCGGUUUGAAGCUGUCCCAAACCGAAAAAACCGAAAACCCGAUAACACCGAAUAUAUUAAAACUGCAUCAUUUCUAGGUAAAUUAGCCACGCUUAUACAGGUUUGGGUCUGUCUAUUUUUGUCAAAAAAUUGGCUUCAAAACUACGUCGUUUAAUUGUCAUAUAUAAUCCUCUUUAUAAUUUUGAAACCCUAACUCACUUUUCUUUCAUCUCUCUCAUUCACAGCCGCUCUCUUCCUCUUUUCAUAUUCUUCUUCUUUUUCAUCAUACAAACCCUAUAUUUUUAAUCGAUUUCUUUAAUUUCUUUACACUACCUUUUAGUAUAACACUCUUUUAACGUUGUAAUUCAAGAAAGGUACCAUUUUUGCUUCUUGAAUCUAUCUACAAAUCUUAACAAAAUCAAGUUGCUGGAGAUAGCCUUGCUUUAUUGUUGCUUCUUCUGGAUCACUUAUUGAUUUUUACUCAUUUGUUUAUGUUAUUUUUAAUAAUUUUUGGGUAUUAUUAAUUGUAAUUUCAAUAUGUAUGGAUGUUUUAUAAUAUGUAAAGUUCUUCAUCAAAUAAUAAUAUGAAUUUUUUGUUUGUUUUUAAUAAAAUUGGAGUUUCUUUA